rnacentral:rRNA from 1 species
GUGACUGCGUACCUUUUGUAUAAUGGGUCAGCGACUUAUAUUCUGUAGCAAGGUUAACCGUCUAGGGGAGCCGCAGGGAAACCGAGUCUUAACGGGGCGUUAAGUUGCAGGGUAUAGACCCGAAACCCGGUGAUCUAGCCAUGGGCAGGUUGAAGGUUGGGUAACACUAACUGGAGGACCGAACCGACUAAUGUUGAAAAAUUAGCGGAUGACUUGUGGCUGGGGGUGAAAGGCCAAUCAAACCGGGAGAUAGCUGGUUCUCCCCGAAAGCUAUUUAGGUAGCGCCUCGUGAAGUCAUCUUCGGGGGUAGAGCACUGUUUCGGCUAGGGGGUCAUCCCGACUUACCAACCCGAUGCAAACUGCGAAUACCGAAGAAUGUUAUCACGGGAGACACACGGCGGGUGCUAACGUCCGUCGUGAAGAGGGAAACAACCCAGACCGCCAGCUAAGGUCCCGAAGUCAUGGUUAAGUGGGAAACGAAGUGGGAAGGCUCAGACAGCCAGGAUGUUGGCUUAGAAGCAGCCAUCAUUUAAAGAAAGCGUAAUAGCUCACUGGUCGAGUCGGCCUGCGCGGAAGAUGUAACGGGGCUAAACCAUGCACCGAAGCUGCGGCAGCGACAUGAAAGUGUUGCUGGGUAGGGGAGCGUUCUGUAAGCCGCAGAAGGUGGCCUGUGAGGGCUGCUGGAGGUAUCAGAAGUGCGAAUGCUGACAUAAGUAACGAUAAAGCGGGUGAAAAACCCGCUCGCCGGAAGACCAAGGGUUCCUGUCCAACGUUAAUCGGGGCAGGGUGAGUCGACCCCUAAGGCGAGGCCGACAGGCGUAGUCGAUGGGCAACAGGUUAAUAUUCCUGUACUCGGUGUGACUGCGAAGGGGGGACGGAGAAGGCUAGGCCAGCCGGGCGACGGUCGUCCCGGUUGAAGCGUGUAGGUGGGUGGUUUUGGAAAAUCCGGACCGCUGUUAACACUGAGGCGUGAUAACGAGGCACUACGGUGCCGAAGUGGUUGAUGCCCUGCUUCCAGGAAAAGCCUCUAAGCAUCAGGUCACAAUGAAUCGUACCCCAAACCGACACAGGUGGUCAGGUAGAGAAUACUCAGGCGCUUGAGAGAACUCGGGUGAAGGAACUAGGCAAAAUGGUGCCGUAACUUCGGGAGAAGGCACGCUGGCGCCAGGUGAAGGAACGAGCUUCCGGAGCCGAGGCCAGUCGCAGAUACCAGCUGGCUGCAACUGUUUAAUAAAAACACAGCACUGUGCAAACACGCAAGUGGACGUAUACGGUGUGACGCCUGCCCGGUGCUGGAAGGUUAAUUGAUGGGGUUAUCGCGUUGCGAGAAGCUCUUGAUCGAAGCCCCAGUAAACGGCGGCCGUAACUAUAACGGUCCUAAGGUAGCGAAAUUCCUUGUCGGGUAAGUUCCGACCUGCACGAAUGGCGUAAUGAUGGCCAGGCUGUCUCCACCCGAGACUCAGUGAAAUUGAACUCGCUGUGAAGAUGCAGUGUACCCGCGGCAAGACGGAAAGACCCCGUGAACCUUUACUAUAGCUUGACACUGAACCUUGAGCCUUGAUGUGUAGGAUAGGUGGGAGGCCUGGAAGUGCGGACGCCAGUCUGCAUGGAGCCAACCUUGAAAUACCACCCUUGAAUGUUUGAUGUUCUAACGCAGGCCCGUGAUCCGGGUUGCGGACAGUGUCUGGUGGGUAGUUUGACUGGGGCGGUCUCCUCCCAAAGCGUAACGGAGGAGCACGAAGGUUAGCUAAUCACGGUCGGACAUCGUGAGGUUAGUGCAAUGGCAUAAGCUGGCUUGACUGCGAGAGUGACAGCUCGAGCAGGUGCGAAAGCAGGUCAUAGUGAUCCGGUGGUUCUGCAUGGAAGGGCCAUCGCUCAACGGAUAAAAGGUACUCCGGGGAUAACAGGCUGAUACCGCCCAAGAGUUCAUAUCGACGGCGGUGUUUGGCACCUCGAUGUCGGCUCAUCACAUCCUGGGGCUGAAGCAGGUCCCAAGGGUACGGCUGUU